UCCCUGGAGGACUAAUGGUUAUGCCACAGCGCUCUCACUGCUGCGGCCCGGGUUCGAUUCCCAGCCAGGGAA
rnacentral:tRNA from 1 species